GAUAGGGAGACAGAGAUAGUGGGAGGAUCCACUAAAUGAGGAAGCAGCUGAGAGCAAAGAAUCCCUGCCAGAGGAAUAUCCUUGGGGGGUAAAAAGCUGGAUCUGUCCUUUCUGCCCAGCCCAUUCAUCCCAGCCCAGACAAUUCAAAUCUACCUUCUAUCAGAACUUAGGGUGUAAAACGGCUAGGAAGAAACAUCCCCUGGGUCUGGGGAAGCUGUCAGGAGCAGUGACAUCACAGAAAAAAACACCAAUCAGGGCCAAGGAGACCAGAGCCCAGCCUAUCACCCAGAGGACCCCAGUCAGAGGCCCCAUCUCAGACCCCAGGCUAGCAUGGGCUGCAGGCUGAUCUGCUGUGUGGUUCUCUGUCUCCUGGGAGCAGUCCCCACAGACACUGGAGUUACCCAGACACCAAAACACCUGGUCAUGGGAAUGACAAAUAAGAAGUCUUUGAAAUGUGAACAACAUCUGGGGCACAAUGCUAUGUACUGGUACAAGCAGAAAGCUAAGAAGCCGCCGGAGCUCAUGUUUGUCUACAACUAUGAGAAACUCUCUAUUAAUGAAAGUGUGCCCAGUCGCUUCUCACCUGAAUGCUCCAAGAGCUCUCUCUUACACCUUCACCUACGCGCCCUGCAGCCAGAAGACUCAGCCCUGUAUCUCUGCGCCAGCAGCCAAGACACAGCCUUGCAGAGUCGCCGCGUUCCUGUGCAGAAACCUUCAGGGCCUGCGAGGAAGCUGUGGAGGCCACGGAGGGCUCGGGUGAGCAUUUCCUGCAAGAGCCCCGACAGAAGCUUCAGAACAUCACGGCACCUGCUAAUUCAUCCAUGUGGCAACUUUACAUCCUGUGCACAUAUUUAG